rnacentral:rRNA from 1 species
CUGAUCCAGCCAUACCGCGUGGGUGAAGAAGGCCUUCGGGUUGUAAAGCCCUUUUGUUGGGAAAGAAAAGCAGCGGGCUAAUACCCAGCUGUUCUGACGGUACCCAAAGAAUAAGCACCGGCUAACUUCGUGCCAGCAGCCGCGGUAAUACGAAGGGUGCAAGCGUUACUCGGAAUUACUGGGCGUAAAGCGUGCGUAGGUGGUUGUUUAAGUCUGUUGUGAAAGCCCUGGGCUCAACCUGGGAACUGCAGUGGAAACUGGAUGACUAGAGUGUGGUAGAGGGUAGCGGAAUUCCCGGUGUAGCAGUGAAAUGCGUAGAGAUCGGGAGGAACAUCCAUGGCGAAGGCAGCUACCUGGACCAACACUGACACUGAGGCACGAAAGCGUGGGGAGCAAACAGGAUUAGAUACCCUGGUAGUCCACGCCCUAAACGAUGCGAACUGGAUGUUGGGUGCAAUUUGGCACGCAGUAUCGAAGCUAACGCGUUAAGUUCGCCGCCUGGGGAGUACGGUCGCAAGACUGAAACUCAAAGGAAUUGACGGGGGCCCGCACAAGCGGUGGAGUAUGUGGUUUAAUUCGAUGCAACGCGAAGAACCUUACCUGGCCUUGACAUGUCGAGAACUUUCCAGAGA